AUACUUACCUGGCAGGGGAGACACCAUGAUCACGACGGUGGUUCGCCCCAAGGCGAGACUCAGACAUUGCACACCCGGCUCCGUUGACCUUUGCGAAUUCUUCACAUGCGGGAAUCUCGACUGUAAAAUUUAUGGUAAUGGGUAACUGCGUUCGCGCUCUCCCCUG